GAAGGGGGCUAGCGUUGUUCGGAUUUACUGGGCGUAAAGCGCACGUAGGCGGACUUUUAAGUCAGGGGUGAAAUCCCGGGGCUCAACCCCGGAACUGCCUUUGAUACUGAGGAUCUUGAGUUCGGGAGAGGUGAGUGGAACUGCGAGUGUAGAGGUGAAAUUCGUAGAUAUUCGGAAGAACACCAGUGGCGAAGGCGACUGACUGGACAAGUAUUGACGCUGAGGUGCGAAAGCNUGGGGAGCAAACAGGAUUAGAUACCCUGGUAGUCCACGCCGUAAACGAUGAUAACUAGCUGUCCGGGUUCAUAGAACUUGGGUGGCGCAGNUAACGCAUUAAGUUAUCCGCCUGGGGAGU
rnacentral:rRNA from 1 species